GAUGAACGCUGGCGGCGUGCCUAACACAUGCAAGUCGAGCGCGAUUAAGUGUAGUGGAGACUUCGGUCAAAGUGAAGCUUAUGAAAGCGGCGGACGGGUGAGUAACGCGUGGGUAACCUGCCCCAUACAAAGGGAUAGCCACUGGAAACGGUGAUUAAUACCUUAUAAGUCGGUAGUCUCGCAUGAGACAGCCGACAAAGAUUUAUCGGUAUGGGAUGGACCCGCGUCUGAUUAGCUAGUUGGUGAGGUAACGGCUCACCAAGGCGACGAUCAGUAGCCGACCUGAGAGGGUGAUCGGCCACACUGGAACUGAGACACGGUCCAGACUCCUACGGGAGGCAGCAGUGGGGAAUAUUGCACAAUGGGCGCAAGCCUGAUGCAGCAACGCCGCGUGAGUGAUGAAGGCUUUCGGGUCGUAAAACUCUGUCCUAUGGGAAGAAAAAAAUACGACGGUACCAUAGGAGGAAGCCCCGGCUAAUACGUGCCAGCAGCC
rnacentral:rRNA from 1 species